AACUUCUACUUUGGUUACUUAUAUACUGAAGUUGGAACGAUACAGAGUUGAAGAGCUUGACCCAUGAACAAUGAUGUCAUGCAAAUUAUUGAUGUAUUCCAUAUUCCU
ensembl:snRNA U6 U6 spliceosomal RNA